rnacentral:RNase_P_RNA from 1 species
GAUACGAAUCGGCUUAUCGCGUCUAAGUAAUUGGGCGAGGAAAGUCCGGGCAGCGCAGGGCACCCUACUUCCUAACGGGAAGGCGGACGGUUGGGAACGACCGUUCGACAGCCAGUGUCACAGAAAAUAUACCGCCAUCUUUUCAAUGAGCGAAUGACAAAAUGAGUGAAAGAGCGAAUAGCUGACGCAAGCCCUAUUCACUCAUUGUCUCUUUCACUCAUUCGCUCAUUGAAAAGGUGGUAAGGGUGAAAAGGUGGGGUAAGAGCCUACCGCCCGACGGGCGACCGGCGGGGCAGGAUAAACCUUAGGGGCUGAAAGACCAAAUAAGCGUCGGAUGUGGGGCGGCUCGUUUCCGUUCCAGAGCAAUCCCAACCGGGAACGAUCUGGAUGCCGACGCGGGUAGGUCGAACGAGGUGGUCGGUGACGACCAUCCCAGAUAAAUGAUAGGCUAUUUGAUACGUGCUGAAA